GACGAACGCUGGCGGUGUGCUUCACACAUGCAAGUCGAACGGAGUAGCAAUACUCAGUGGCGGACGGGUGAGUAACGCGUAGGAAUCUGCCUUAAGGUGGGGGAUAACAGUCCGAAAGGAUUGCUAAUACCGCAUAUGUGUACGAUACGACAGUUUUGUACAUGAAAAGAGUAAUCUGCCUAGAGAUGAGCCUGCGUCCGAUUAGCUAGUUGGUAAGGGUAAAAGCCACCAAGGCGACGAUCGGUAGCUGGUCUGAGAGGAUGAUCAGCCACAAUGGGACUGAGAC
rnacentral:rRNA from 1 species